CGGCACGCGCGGCCAGCCGGCGGGACUGCAGCCCCGGGCAGCCGGGACGCGCCUCUGCACCCCGAAGCUUCUUGAAUAUCAAAGCCCGAUGAACCCAAGAAGCAAUUUCUGGUAGAAAUCUGAAGAUUAUCUUUAAGGAAUAAAGGUCAAUGAAUUAAGGACAAGAAGGUUUCAAAUCAGUCCCUGCUAUGUGGAUAUUUGUUAGCAAUGACUGAUG